GAAGGGGGCUAGCGUUGUUCGGAAUUACUGGGCGUAAAGCGUAUGCAGGCGGAUCGUUAAGUCGGGGGUGAAAUCCCGAGGCUCAGCCUCGGAACUGCCUUCGAUACUGGCGAUCUUGAGUCCGGGAGAGGUGAGUGGAACUGCGAGUGUAGAGGUGAAAUUCGUAGAUAUUCGCAAGAACACCAGUGGCGAAGGCGGCUCACUGGCCCGGUACUGACGCUGAGAUACGAAAGCGUGGGGAGCAAACAGGAUUAGAUACCCUGGUAGUCCACGCCGUAAACGAUGGGUGCUAGCCGUCGGCAAGUUUACUUGUCGGUGGCGCAGAUAACGCAAUAAGCACCCCGCCUGGGGAGUACGAUCGCAAGAUUA
rnacentral:rRNA from 1 species